rnacentral:rRNA from 1 species
UACAGAGGGUGCAAGCGUUUGUUCGGAAUUAUUGGGCGUAAAGAGCUCGUAGGCGGUUUGGUAAGUCUGGUGUGAAAUCUCCACGCUCAACGUGGAGGGGCCACCCGAUACUGCCAUGACUGGAGUCCGGUAGAGGAGUGUGGAAUUCCCGGUGUAGCGGUGAAAUGCGUUGAUAUCGGAAGGAACGCCGGUGGCGAAAGCGGCCUGCUGGACCUCUUCUGACGCUGAGCGCGAAAGCCAGGGGAGCAAAGCGGG